rnacentral:rRNA from 1 species
UGGGGAAUAUUGCGCAAUGGGCGCAAGCCUGAUCCAGCCAUGCCGCGUGAGUGACGAAGGCCUUAGGGUUGUAAAGCUCUUUUUGGCGGGGAAGAUAAUGACGGUACCCGCAGAAUAAGCUCCGGCUAACUUCGUGCCAGCAGCCGCGGUAAUACGAAGGGAGCUAGCGUUGUUCGGAAUCACUGGGCGUAAAGCGCACGUAGGUGGGCAGUUAAGUCAGGGGUGAAAGCCCGAGGCUCAACCUCGGAAUUGCCUCUGAUACUGGCUGUCUAGAGUUCGAGAGAGGUGAGUGGAAUUCCUAGUGUAGAGGUGAAAUUCGUAGAUAUUAGGAAGAACACCGGUGGCGAAGGCGGCUCACUGGCUCGAUACUGACACUGAGGUGCGAAAGCGUGGGGAGCAAACAGGAUUAGAUACCCCGGUAGUCCCUGAGCGGGCUGGCAAGGCGCAU